rnacentral:rRNA from 1 species
UUGCCUGCACCUGCCGGCGACCGGCGCACGGGUGAGUAACACGUAUGGAACCUGCCCGCCACAGGGGGAUAACCCGGGGAAACCCGGCCUAAUACCCCAUGCCGCCCGGACCGGGCAUCCGGUCCGGGCGAAAGGAGGAAUCCGGUGGCGGCUGGGCAUGCGGCGCAUUAGCUUGACGGCGGGGCGACGGCCCACCAAGGCGACGAUGUCUAGGGGUUCUGAGAGGAAGGUCCCCCACACUGGUACUGAGACACGGACCAGACUCCUACGGGAGGCAGCAG